GCACAAUGGGCGAAAGCCUGAUGCAGCGACGCCGCGUGAUGGAUGAAGGCCUUCGGGUUGUAAACUUCUUUUAUCAGGGAAGAAGGAAGUGACGGUACCUGAUGAAUAAGCCCCGGCUAACUACGUGCCAGCAGCCGCGGUAAUACGUAGGGGGCGAGCGUUGUCCGAAUUUACUGGGCGUAAAGCGCGCCGUAGGCGGACUUUUAAGUCGGUGGUGAAAUCUUGGGGCUUAACCCUGAAACUGCCGCCGAAACUGGGAGUCUUGAGGUAUGGAGAGGGAAGUGGAAUUCCUGGUGUAGCGGUGAAAUGCGUAGAUAUCAGGAGGAACACCCGUGGCGAAGGCGGCUUCCUGGUCAUAUCCUGACGCUGAGGUGCGAAAGCCAGGGGAGCGAACGGGAUUAGAUACCCCGGUAGUCCUGGCCGUAAACGAUGGAUACUAGGUGUUAGUGGUAUCGACCCCACUAGUGCCGCAGCUAACGCAAUAAGCAUCCCGCCUGGGGAGUACGGCCGCAAGGUUG
rnacentral:rRNA from 1 species